rnacentral:rRNA from 1 species
CCUACGGGUGGCUGCAGUGGGGAAUCUUGCGCAAUGGGCGAAAGCCUGACGCAGCCAUGCCGCGUGGAUGAUGAAGGUCUUAGGAUUGUAAAAUCCUUUCACCGGUGAAGAUAAUGACUGUAGCCGGAGAAGAAGCCCCGGCUAACUUCGUGCCAGCAGGCGCGGUAAUACGACGGGGGCUAGCGUUGCUCGGAUUUACUGGGCGUAAAGGGCGCGUAGGCGGACACUUAAGUCAGGGGUGAAAUCCCGGGGCUCAACCGCUGAACUGCCUUUGAUACUGGGUGUCUUGAGUGUGGGAGAGGUUUGUGGAACUCCGAGUGUAGCGGUGAAAUUCGUAGAUAUUCGGAAGAACACCAGUGGCGAAGGCGACUCACUGGCUCAUUACUGACGCUGAGGCGCGAAAGCGUGGGGAGCAAACAGGAUUAGAUACCCCUGUAGUC